UGAACACUACAGUUGGCGUGAAAUUACGCGAUACUAGCGCUCUCAAGGAAUAUUUCAGUGAUAGCAGAAAACUUCUAUUGAGACUGAUAGAGAGCGCUGUAGUCUCACGCAUUAGACCAUCCAAACUAAAGCAGCUGCUGGCAGUAUCAAAAUGUGAUUGUAGAUAGUUAAUUAUUUAACAACUACAUAUAGUAUUUUGUAUGUACUAUUUAAUGAUAAAAAAUUUAUCAGAAAUAACAUAAUAAUUUUUAAUUAAAUUGGAUACAAACGGCUAUUAAAUUAAUUAUUAUUGAAUAAUAUGCCUCAUUGCUGUGCUGUUUAUGGUUGUCACACUAGUAAAAAAAAAUCAAAUGAACAUAUUUCGUUUCAUCGAUUUCCAAAGGAGGUGAAUGAGCGUAAAAAAUGGAGGAUUGCUAUUUGCAGGAAGGGUUGGAAACCAACGGACUCAUCCAGAAUUUGUUCAAUUCAUUUUAAAGAUGAGGAUUAUAUUGAAGGUCUUCAAAGACGAGUUUUAACGCCUGGUGCAAUUCCAAGCAUCUUUCCCAGCUUCCCACCACAUCUCCAACGAGUAGAAAAUAAACGCCGUGUCUUGGUUAGGAAUAACAUUCAAAAAUUCGGUCUUCAAAAUAAUGAAAAAAGCAACAAAGGCCAACGAUCCUCCAUCCCCUUGAUUAUGCCUCCUUAUAAGCCGCCUCCUUCCAAACCAAUAACAGAAACUGAACAUAAUUAUUCUUAUCCGAAUGAUAUAAACAUUCUGAAAAAUCGCUGCGAUAUGCUUAAAGACACUUUGGAGAGAAUGUCGACUCAGAACAAACAGUUUACAGGAAGAGUUAUAAGGAGAGAUUCAAAGAUAAAAAAAAUAAAUAAUAAAAUACAAUAUUGGAUUAAGAAGAAUGUUUUGUCUAUUGAAACUAUCCGUAAUCUAAAGCAAUAUAAUAUUGAAAAUAGGAUAAUUAAAUGAUACUUUGAUUUUUUUCCCCUCGUGUGGAGCGUUAUCUGGUGAACUUAACAUUUUAAAGAUUUCAAUUUAUCCGUUGAGGCUUCCAGGAUGUCGGAAGAACACAAUCUGAAACAAAAAAGUCCUUAUUGUAAGGUUAUGGAAGUACUUAUUCUUCAAAGUUCAAGGGUUACCACGUUGAUUUUCGAGUUCUUUUUUUUUUUAACAUGCCCAUUCUACCCUUGAUUUUCAUCAUUGGACUGGCAGCGAUAGCUGAUUCGAUGUGAAAAUUAUCCAAAUCGUCGUGAG
rnacentral:misc_RNA from 1 species